rnacentral:rRNA from 1 species
UACAGAGGUCCCAAGCGUUGUUCGGAUUCAUUGGGCGUAAAGGGUGCGUAGGCGGCGCGGGACGUCGGGUGUGAAAUCUCGGAGCUUAACUCCGAAACUGCAUUCGAUACUGCCGUGCUUGAGGACUGGGAGGAGACUGGAAUUUACGGUGUAGCGGUGAAAUGCGUAGAUAUCGUAAGGAAGACCAGUGGCGAAGGCGGGUCUCUGGACAGUUCCUGACGCUGAGGCACGAAGGCCAGGGGAGCAAACGGG